UGGGGAAUAUUGGACAAUGGGGGAAACCCUGAUCCAGCAAUGCCGCGUGAGUGAGAAGGCCUUAGGGUUGUAAAGCUCUUUUGGCAGGGAAGAUAAUGACGGUACCUGCAGAAUAAGAACCGGCUAACUCUGUGCCAGCAGCCGCGGUAAUACAGAGGGUUCUAGCGUUGUUCGGAAUUACUGGGCGUAAAGGGCGCGUAGGCGGUUUGUCAAGUCAGACGUGAAAGCCCCGGGCUUAACCUGGGAACUGCGUUUGAUACUGUCAGACUGGAAGGCGGAAGAGGAGAGUGGAAUUCCUGGUGUAGCAGUGAAAUGCGUAGAUAUCAGGAGGAAUACCAAAGGCGAAGGCAUCUCUCUGGUCCGUUCUUGACGCUGAGGCGCGAAAGCGUGGGGAGCAAAC
rnacentral:rRNA from 1 species